UUUGCUUCGAGUUUCAUCUUUUCGUCAUUUUAGCUUUAGUUAUGCUCUUAGCAAGUUCUCACAGGUUGUCACCAGAUGUGGACUCCUUCGCUUCUUCUGCCUGGUGAAUCGUUCUUGCAAAACCGUUGUGGGAGCUUGAGUUUGCGGUCUUCGAUGUCGGCAACCGUUGGGUGAGGGUGGUGAUAGAUAUUGGUAGGACGCUCUCAUAUAAUAGCAAGGAGUGCUUCUGGAGCAGAACCUGCAGGACUUAUUCCUAAAAAUAGUGGGCUAAUUCUCAUUUUGUAGUCUCAUUAGUGGACCCUGGGAAGGCACACAAAUGUUUUCACGAACAACGUCUUUGGUUCAAAGGAGUCCCAUGUAAAUAGAGUCUUUAGUUGAGGUAAGUUCUUUCCUAAUUCGCUUCAACCUCUUUUUUCUUUAUACUAUUUGGCAGUAGUUUCUUGACUCAUUUCGGUGUUAAGCAGGGCGUGAAAACACCGUUGAACGCACGAAUAUGGUUGUGUUUGAUGAUGAUGUAACUGCACUUUGGUAUUUUUUUCUUCCAGAAUGAAUACACUCUUUGCAUUUUCAUGCGUUCUGUUGUUUGUGACCAAUUCCCUCAUAUCUUGCUUCAUCUUGUCAUAAAGAUUAAUAAUUUUUUUAUGGUUGGUGCUUUCAAAGGUUUAAUGGUCUCUCUUUGUCAUUCAUUUCAUAAAAAUCGAGUGUUUAAUGUAGUAUGAUUGAUUUUAUAACAAUGUUUUUUUUUCCCCGCAGGGAUAGCUUCUUGGCAAAUUACACAAAUGCUACUAGAGUGUACUAGAACCCUUAUUUUUAUGAGAUCAUGUAUCUGAAGAGAGAAUUGUUGAGGCCCGCUUAGAAAAGAUGAAUAUGAUUUGGAGCUGUAUUAGGGUAGUUAGGGCCAUAGCUUCUGUAUCUACUGGUUUUGGGCUAUAAGUUGAUGACAAAUGUUUUGUUAGGUCCUUACUGGUGGUAAUCAUUCAUAUGUAAUGGGGUACUUCAUACUUAAGUUUGUAUGGGUUGUUGGAUGUUUUAACUUAUAUGAUGUAUUAAUUAUUGAUAUAUUAGUUAUGACUUUCCGCGAUGCUUACGCGCUGUAUA